rnacentral:rRNA from 1 species
GAUGAACGCUGGCGGCGUGCCUAAUACAUGCAAGUCGAGCGAACGGACGAGAGGCUUGCUUCUCUGAUGUUAGCGGCGGACGGGUGAGUAACACGUGGAUAACCUACCUAUAAGACUGGGAUAACUUCGGGAAACCGGAGCUAAUACCGGAUAAUAUUUUGAACCGCAUGGUUCAAAAGUGAAAGACGGUCUUGCUGUCACUUAUAGAUGGAUCCGCGCUGCAUUAGCUAGUUGGUAAGGUAACGGCUUACCAAGGCAACGAUGCAUAGCCGACCUGAGAGGGUGAUCGGCCACACUGGAACUGAGACACGGUCCAGACUCCUACGGGAGGCAGCAGUAGGGAAUCUUCCGCAAUGGGCGAAAGCCUGACGGAGCAACGCCGCGUGAGUGAUGAAGGUCUUCGGAUCGUAAAACUCUGUUAUUAGGGAAGAACAUAUGUGUAAGUAACUGUGCACAUCUUGACGGUACCUAAUCAGAAAGCCACGGCUAACUACGUG